CUCUGUUUUUGUGACUCAUUAGAUAGGUAUUUCACUUGACCUAUAUAUUUCAUCUUUUAGUACUGUGAUUUUUUUGUGUUAUAACGUCAACCUGUAGCUUUAAUGUAUAACCAGAUGCUCCGCAGGGCGUAGCUUUAUACGACCGCAGAGGUUGAACCCUGAAUGGUUGGGGCAAGUAUGGACACAACAUUCAAGCUGGAUUCAGCUCUAAAUUUGGAUUGUGAUUAAAUAGUUGACACAGCAUAGGUUUCUGACACAGAAUGAAUGUGUUCUAAUGAACUUAAAAUUUUUUGUUUUCUCUUAGAGCAAUUCACUAUGCUGUUGAAUAUUAAUCCUCUCAAAAAAAUGUUUGAAGAAAUUUUCUUUUUU
rnacentral:lncRNA from 1 species